rnacentral:rRNA from 1 species
AGAGUUUGAUCCUGGCUCAGAACGAACGCUGGCGGCAGGCUUAACACAUGCAAGUCGAACGCCCCACAAGGGGAGUGGCAGACGGGUGAGUAACACGUGGGCAAUCUGCCCCGAGGUGGGGAAUAACUUUCCGAAAGGAAGGCUAAUACCGCAUGACAUCGCGAGGUCCUCGGGCCUUGCGAUCAAAGCUGGCCUCUGUUUACAAGCUAGCGCCACGGGGGGAGCCCGCGCCCCAUUAGCUAGUUGGUGAGGUAACGGCUCACCAAGGCAACGAUGGGUAGCCGGCCUGAGAGGGUGAUCGGCCACACUGGAACUGAGACACGGUCCAGACUCCUACGGGAGGCAGCAGUGAGGAAUAUUGCGCAAUGGGCGAAAGCCUGACGCAGCGACGCCGCGUGGAGGAUGAAGGUCUUCGGAUUGUAAACUCCUGUCGUGCGGGACGAACGCCUCGGUCGUGAACAACGGCCGGGGUUGACGGUACCGCAGGAGGAAGCCCCGGCUAACUCCGUGCCAGCAGCCGCGGUAAUACGGAGGGGGCCAGCGUUGUUCGGAAUCAUCGGGCGUAAAGGGCGCGUAGGCGGCCGAUCAAGUCGAACGUGAAAUCUCCCGGCUCAACCGGGAACCUGCGUCCGAUACUGUUCGGCUGGAGUCCCGGAGAGGGUAGUGGAAUUCCCAGUGUAGCGGUGAAAUGCGUAGAUACUGGGAGGAACACCGGUGGCGAAGGCGGCUACCUGGACGGGUACUGACGCUGAGGCGCGAGAGCUGGGGGAGCAAACAGGAUUAGAUACCCUGGUAGUCC